rnacentral:rRNA from 1 species
GUGGGUAACCUACCCUGUACACACGGAUAACAUACUGAAAGGUAUGCUAAUACGGGAUAAUAUAUUUGAGAGGCAUCUCUUGAAUAUCAAAGGUGAGCCAGUACAGGAUGGACCCGCGUCUGAUUAGUUAGUUGGUAAGGUAACGGCUUACCAAGGCGACGAUCAGUAGCCGACCUGAGAGGGUGAUCGGCCACAUUGGAACUGAGACA